rnacentral:rRNA from 1 species
UACGUAGGGUGCUAGCGUUGUUCGGAUUCACUGGGCGUAAAGGGUGCGUAGGCGGUCGGGUAAGUCUGAUGUGAAAUCUCCAAGCCUAACUUGGAAACUGCAUUGGAUACUAUCCGGCUAGAGGAAUGGAGGGGAGACUGGAAUACUUGGUGUAGCAGUGAAAUGCGUAGAUAUCAAGUGGAACACCAGUGGCGAAGGCGAGUCUCUGGACAUUUCCUGACGCUGAGGCACGAAAGCCAGGGGAGCAAACGGG